UGAACUCUAAAUUAUGAAAGGGAAAAUAAUUAUCUCAUCCACAACAACUUGCGAAAUUAAUCAACUUUUCCUUCUGAAAUCAGAUGUUUUAUUUCCCUUUUUUUAAUAAAUUUGAAAUAUAAGAUACUUUCUUUUCCUUUUUUCUGUACAAGUUUUAAAAUUAAUUACAUUUAUUUUCAAAAAAUUUUGAUUUAAUGAUUCAUCACUUGUUUUUUACUCAAGGGCAUGAAAAAAAUAUCUUUAAUUUUGCUUGUCAGUUAUGGCAUGUCCUAAGCACAAACAGGAGAAAGAAGCACAAACACAUUAUGCAAAUCCAACCACCGGUUAAAAACAAAAACCACGUAAACAGGAGCAUUAUCUCAAACAUGCAAGGAUAAAGCUGCUGCACAAGCUCUUCAACUAGCCAUUGGAAAUACAAAUUCACAUUGGUAAUUAUGUAUUUCUAAAGAGUUCAUAUAGUAGUACAAGAAAACCAAAAACCACAAAUUCACGUUUAUAAAUUUAGAACUAGAGAAAUAUUCAUACACAAGGAUUACAAGUAAAAAACAAAAAUUUGAAUUUGUACCAUUCACAUAUACAAUACAUUUCUAUUUGCCUAAAAAACCUCAAUCUAAACUCUCGUACUAGAGAAUGUUCAGAAUGUGAAUAAAAAAAUUGUUUCUCGAAAGUGCCUCAAAAAGGCUAAAUCCUAUGCCGUUUUCCCCCUUAACAAUAAUAAUAAUAAUAAUAAUAAUAAUAAUAAUAAUGAUGAUGAUGUGAGAAGCUCGGUAAGCAGAUGUGUCAACAGAGAUAUCAUAGAGAUCUCAUACAACAACCGGCCAGAAAACAUCUCAUUGGUAAUUGAUAUAGCUACAGCCGCUUUGGCAAGUCAAGGUCAAGGCCACCCAUUGCUAUGCUAUGCCUUCCCUUGGUACAUAUAGCUUUCAGAUCAAUACAAAAUCACAAAACUGUAAGCACGAAACAGAAAAUGGAAAAAAUUUAGACUGAACUCCACUACUGUGACUUUAAAAUUAAUUUUAUUAACCUCAAAUGAACACCAUUAGUUAUUAACUGAGAAAGGUUUCAUACAGCAAAAAUACCCUGCUCAUAAUAAACAGACACAUGCAAAUCAUACUUACACCCCAAAUUAAAAUUGAAAAAUCAAUCCCUAACCAAUGUCUCAGACAUCCAAGGAAGGAUAAAGCAGCACAAGCUCUCAAGCCUGGCGAAGGCGAAAGCUCUUAGGCGGCCACUGCGAAUGUUCUUGAGAAACAAGCCUUUGGAUUUGUCAUCAUCAACACAUCGGCAUUAUAAAUUUCAAUGAAGGGCGUAUACUAGUAAAACAAACUGAUCAUGAGAAAAACCAAAUGUUUAAAUUUAUAAGAACAAACAAAUAUUUAAAUUUGAAUCAUUCACAUUGUAUGAUUAUUAUACAUUUCAUCAAGGUUGAUAAAAACAAAUCUUAUUUAAUAUUUCUGAUAAAAAGAAUGUAGAAGUUUCAGACAUCCAAGGAAGGAUUAAAGCAGCAUAAGCUCUCAAGCCUGGCGAAGGCGAAAGCUCUUAGGCGUCCACUGCGAAUGUUUUCUGAGAAACAAGUCUAUGGAUCUAUCAUCAUCAACAACGAUACAAGCUUACAAUAUUAAACCAAAACUGAAAUCAGAAACUAAAUUAAGCUCAGCUUUUCUACUAUCAAUGAUCAAACAAACAAGAUUCAUCAUGUAAAAUGACCAACCAGGAGAAAUGAAACAAGAUAUCUUCCAAACAAUUUGAUGAUUGAAAGAGCAUUUAUUCCACUCUUUAAUGAUCAGCAAGAUACAAAACAAAAAUGCUGACAAAGUGAUAAGGUGGAUUAGAGUUAAAUUUUAGGGACUCGUUCAUCCCUAAAGCACUCAAAAUGCUGCUAAAGGGGCAGACGUGUCAUCCCCAUAUAUGUACAAAUUGCUAAUAAUUCUGAAAACAUCUAGCAAUUAGCUAAACUCAAAACAAAUACGAACCACCGCCAAAAAUUUUUCAGCAACCAGAUAAAACUACAAUAAACCGUAACCCCAAAAUUGCCAGUAAUCAGCAGAUAUCAGAGAAAUGCAAACCAUGAAAGGGGCGCAAAUUUCUGCAUUUUCACUUUCAAUUACUCAAGAACCUAAAAUAACCAAAAGCGGAAAAAAGAAACACAACGGUUAAAAUAAAAUGGUUUCUACCUAAUCAAACGUAUAAAAAUGGGAAACAGUAUACUUUUAGGAGUGAUUGGCUCAGACAUCCAAGGAAGGAUAAAAGCAGCACAAGCUCUCAAGCCCGGCGAAAGGCGAAAGCUCUUAGGCGGCCACUGCGAAUGUUCUUGAGAAACAAGCCUUUGGAUCUAUCAUCAUUGCCCUUUGUAACUCCAAUUGGUUUUAAUUAUAACUAACCAUUAAAAGGAACAAAACCUAAUCAAUCGAUCAUCAAACAAAGCCGUUGAUAUACCCUAAAAGAAUAUCGAUCGCUGUGACCAGCGCCACACCAGAAACGGAGACCGAGAGAAAGACACAGCCGAAUGAGAAAACUGACAAAGAGGAGCUUUUUAUAUAGAAGAGUAACGGAAUUUAGGGCUUUG
rnacentral:lncRNA from 1 species